GGGUCAUUUUUCACGGGUGUCUUUAGACAAAAUCUCUUCGCCCCAAGGGGCUGUGGCCGCCCUGGUGGCGCUGUCUCGUGUCCCAUGUCCCGUGCCGCUGUCCCGUGUCGCUGUCCCGUGCCCCUGUCCCGUGUCGCUGUCGCUGUCCCUUGUCGCUGUCGCUGUCCCGUGCCCCUGUCCCGUGUCGCUGUCCCGUGUCGCUGUCGCGGUCGCUGUCCCGUGUCGCUGUUGCUGUCCCGUGUCGCUGUCCCGUGUCGCUGUCGCUGUCCCGUGCCCCUGUCCCGUGUCGCUGUCCCGUGUCGCUGUCCCGUGUCGCUGUCCCGUGCCGCUGUCCCGUGCCGCUGUCCCGUGUCCCUGUCCCUUGUCGCUGUCCCGUGUCGCUGUCCCGUGUCGCUGUCGCUGUCCCGUGUCCCUGUCCCUUGUCGCUGUCCCGUGUCGCUGUCCCGUGUCGCUGUCGCUGUCCCGUGUCGCUGUCCCGUGUCGCUGUCCCGUGUCGCUGUCGCUGUCCCGUGUCGCUGUCCCGUGUCGCUGUCCCUUGUCGCUGUCGCUGUCCCGUGUCGCUGUCGCUGUCCCGUGUCGCUGUCGCUGUCCCUUGUCGCUGUCGCUGUCCCGUGUCGCUGCCCGGGCCGUUUCUGCCCCGGAACGUUUCUCUACGGCCGCGGUUCCCGCCCGGCACGCGGCGCGGCGCGAAGAUGGCGGCGGCCAUCAGCCGGGGCGGCACCGAGCCCGGCGCGGCUCCCUACGGGAACUUCCCGAAUUAUUCCCGGUUCCACCCGCCCGAGGGCCGCGUCAGCCUCCUGCCCCAGGGGCUCCUGCGCAGCCUCUUCCCCGCGGCCACCCGCCCGCUCCUCGGGCUCGAUGUGGGCUGCAACUCCGGGGUGAGGGGGCGGCGUGCGGGCGGUUUUGGGGCGGCGGAGGCGGCACCCGUUUGGGGUGCUGGGGGUACUGGGGCAGACUGGGGGGGCACUGG
rnacentral:lncRNA from 1 species